rnacentral:rRNA from 1 species
CCGCGGUAUUCCAGCUCCAAUAGUGUAUAUUAACGUUGUUGCAGUUAAAAGGCUCGUAGUCGAACUUGUGGCAUUGACGCCUGGAUCCAGUGCUUCGCGCACCGGCUUUCUAUGGUAUCUUGCCAUCUUUCCGGGGCGCAUCUCUUGCUCUUCACUGAGUGGUUUUGUUAUCCGGAUCCUUUACUGUGAGUAAAUCAAAGUGUUUAAGGCAGGCAUGAUAGCUUGAAUGUAUUAGCAUGGAAUAAUAAGAUAGGACUUCUGUUCUAUUUUGUUGGCUUCUAGAACUGAAGUAAUGAUUGAAAGGGAUAGUUGGGGGUGCUAGUAUUUAACGGUCAGCGGUGAAAUGCUCGGACCCGUUGAAGACUAACUUAUGCGAAAGCAUUCACCAAGGAUAUUUUCUUUGAUCAAGAACGAAAGUUGGGGGAUCGAAGACGAUCAGAUACCGUCGUAGUCUCAACCAUAAACUAUGCCAACUAGGGAUUGGCGGAUGUUGAUUAAUGACUCCGUCAGAACCUUACGAGAAAUCAAAGUCUCUGGGUUCUGGGGGGAGUAUGGUCGCAAGGCUGAAACUUAAAGGAAUUGACGGAAGGGCACCACCAGGAGUGGAGCCUGCGGCUUAAUUUGACUCAACACGGGAAAACUUACCCGGCCCGGACACUGGGAGGAUUGACAGAUUGAGAGCUCUUUCUUGAUUCAGUGGGUGGUGGUGCAUGGCCGUUCUUAGUUGGUGGAGUGAUUUGUCUGGUUAAUUCCGAUAACGAACGAGACUCUAGCCUACUAAAUAGACCGUUGACCCUUUGUGUUGACGGGACUUCUUAGAGGGACAAGCGGCAAUUAAGCCGUAUGAAAAAGAGCAAUAACAGGUCUGUGAUGCCCUUAGAUGUCCGGGGCCGCACGCGCGCUACACUGAAGUGAUCAGCGUGCAUAGCUUACCCGCUCUGAAAAGAGU